rnacentral:sRNA from 1 species
AACCCGUUGUGCAGUGGUUGGUACGAGUCCUCCACUUCAGUAGUACUCAUCUCCAGACGUUAUCCUUCGAUAUCUCUUCUUUUGAGUUCCCUCUUAAGCACUGAAUAUUUCUGUCAUUCAAACCAUUUUCGCCGCAAGGCUCAAGUAUAAAGGUAUUAAAAUAUGGCUAACAGAAUGAAUGGUUCAGUGAAAUGGUUUAACGCGGAUAAAGGCUUUGGUUUUAUCGCACCGGCAGACGGCAGCAAAGACGUGUUCGUCCAUUUCUCCGCUAUCCAGAGCGAUAAUUUUCGCACACUGACCGAAGGUCAGCAGGUUGAAUUCUCGGUUGAAAACGGCGCGAAAGGCCCGUCAGCCGUGAAUGUGGUGGCGCUCUAAAGACAACAUGAUUGCAGCAGGUUUGCAUUUCAGAUGCCCUGCGUGUCAUGGCUCGCAGUAUCGU